rnacentral:lncRNA from 1 species
ACCCUGUAUCCACACGGCUUCCCCCUUAACCCCCCCCUCAGCUGCAAGGGGAGGGCGACCCCUCAGCGAGCCGGGCCCCAGCACGGCCCAGGGGAGCCCCCGGGGGCGGGCGGGCAGGGGGCGGCUGGGGCGGUGGCUCCCCGUGACACUACAAGUACCGCGCUGCCCCGCGCGCCGCCCUACUACAGCUCCCAGCGCGCCCCGCGCCGGGCGGCUGGCGGAGGCCGGUUCCUAUUUAAAUGUGGGCAGCGAGGAAAAUGGCGGCGAGCGGCUGAGCGCGGGGGAGACGGGGAGCAGGAGCUGCGCCUUGGCGCCUUUCCCAGGUUCAGUAGCAGUGGUUCAGGGGAACCUCCAGGCUUGAAGUACUACCAGCGCUACACAGCAACGUCAGGCUUUCCUACUGGCUUCUGUUGGAGAGAGAACACUGAGCUAGUGCUGCUAAUCAGUUGCUCUGCAUCCAUCACCAAACCAUCUCAACAGCAGCCCUCUCCUGUGGAUUGCACACUGCAACAUACGUGGUAUUUACACAACAUAGUGAAAUUUGGGACAGGCACCCGAGACAGAUACUGUAAGCAGCAGUGCCAGGGAGCCAUAGGAUCCAUUCCUCAAUCAAACACCCCUGAGGCUUCUCAUUCCUGUUAG